rnacentral:misc_RNA from 1 species
AAGUCGUAACAAGGUUUCCGUAGGUGAACCUGCGGAAGGAUCAUCAACAGAGGGGAAAAUUAAUUUUUCCCCGAAAUCCUGUAUUCACCCCAAGUUCCCUUCAAAAUUUUAAUAUACGAUAAACUUGCAAAAAAAGACCACCGUCGUCUGGUGGCGCUUAAUGCAUACGCGAAAACUUUCAACAACGGAUCUCUUGGCUCUC